rnacentral:misc_RNA from 1 species
GAAGUAAAAGUCGUAACAAGUUUCGUAGGUGAACCUGCGGAAGGAUCAUUAAAAAUGAGACCUGAUUCAAGUCUAUUAAUAAUCCUACCUUUGUGAAUUUGUUUGUUUAUAUGUGUCUUUCCUGUUUGAUUGAGCUUGUAAAGUCGAAACCUCAGGGAAUGGCAAAACUUUUUUUUAAAUUAACUUUUGUAUUCAUUUGUCUAAAAUUAUUUUAUAAUAUAAAAACAACUUUUGACAAUGGAUCUCUGUUCUCGCAACGAUGAAGAACGCAGCAAAAUGCGAUAAGUAGUGUGAAUUGCAGAAUACGUGAAUCAUCGAAUCUUCGACGCAUAUUGCACUUUUUUGGUUUACCAAAAAGUAUGUCUGUUUGAGUAUCAGUAAAAUAUUCUCAUAAAAACUAUUUGUUUUUAUGGUUAUGAGUGUUUUACAACGAUAAACAAGUUGUUUCACUUUAAAUUCUUUGACUUGUAAAAAAUCAUUAAAAACUGAUUUUUUUUAAAUUGGAUAAAAUUUCCCGUAAAAAGGAAUAACCUAAACAAUUUUAAUAAUUAAUAGUUUGAUUUUUAAAAGAUCUUAAAGGAAAAAGUAAAAAUUAACUUGAUCUCAAUCAGAUAAGGGUACCCGCUGAACUUAAGCAUAUCAAUAAGCGGAGAAAAGAAACUAACUAGGAUUCCUCAGUAACGGCGAGUGAAGCGGAAGAGCUCAAAUUGAAAUCUUCAAGUUCUACCUUGACAAUUGUAGUUAAAGAAGUGUUUUCUGUUGGAGUUUGGUAAAAGUUCUUUGGAAUAGACUCAUAGAGGUGAGAAUCCCGUAUUUGACCAUUAUUUCCAACUUUGUGUACACUUUCAAAGAGUCGAUUGUUUGGAAUGCAGUCCAAAAUGGGUGUAAAUUUCAUCUAAAGCUAAAUACUGCGAGAGACCGAUAGCGACAAGUACCGUGAGGGAAAGAUGAAAAGAACUUUGAAAAGAGAGUUAAACAGUACGUGAAAUUGUCAAAAGGAACGUUUACACCAGUGUUGUUUCUCGAAAAUCAAUUAAAAAUGGCGGAUUUUGUGUUUAUGACUUUAUCAGCUUUCUGCACUUUUUUCCUGUCUUUUUUAAUGCACUUUUCGUUUAACAAGUCAACAUCAAUUCUUUUGUUGUAAAAGGGUCAUUGGAAGUGGCUUUCUUUUCGGAGAAAGUGUCUAUAGCCUUUGCCUCUGCAAUCGAGAGAUUGAGUCUGCAGCGUAGAUCCUUCGGGUUAGAUGCAUUUGUGCUAAGCUAUAGCCUUUCAUAGACAACUUGUUGACUAUGAUCAGUCAUGUAGCUUACUCGCUUAUGUCAUUUACCUACGCUUAGAUGUUGA